rnacentral:rRNA from 1 species
GUAAAUGAACCUGCGGAAGGAUCAUUACCGAGUGAGGGCCCUCUGGGUCCAACCUCCCACCCGUGUUUAUUUUACCUUGUUGCUUCGGCGGGCCCGCCUUAACUGGCCGCCGGGGGGCUUACGCCCCCGGGCCCGCGCCCGCCGAAGACACCCUCGAACUCUGUCUGAAGAUUGUAGUCUGAGUGAAAAUAUAAAUUAUUUAAAACUUUCAACAACGGAUCUCUUGGUUCCGGCAUCGAUGAAGAACGCAGCGAAAUGCGAUACGUAAUGUGAAUUGCAAAUUCAGUGAAUCAUCGAGUCUUUGAACGCACAUUGCGCCCCCUGGUAUUCCGGGGGGCAUGCCUGUCCGAGCGUCAUUGCUGCCCUCAAGCACGGCUUGUGUGUUGGGCCCCGUCCUCCGAUCCCGGGGGACGGGCCCGAAAGGCAGCGGCGGCACCGCGUCCGGUCCUCGAGCGUAUGGGGCUUUGUCACCCGCUCUGUAGGCCCGGCCGGCGCUUGCCGAUCAACCCAAAUUUUUAUCCAGGUUGACCUC